rnacentral:rRNA from 1 species
GAUGAACGCUGGCGGCGUGCCUAAUACAUGCAAGUCGAGCGAACGGACGAGAAGCUUGCUUCUCUGAUGUUAGCGGCGGACGGGUGAGUAACACGUGGAUAACCUACCUAUAAGACUGGGAUAACUUCGGGAAACCGUAGCUAAUACCGGAUAAUAUUUUGAACCGCAUGGUUCAAAAGUGAAAGACGGUCUUGCUGUCACUUAUAGAUGGAUCCGCGCUGCAUUAGCUAGUUGGUAAGGUAACGGCUUACCAAGGCAACGAUGCAUAGCCGACCUGAGAGGGUGAUCGGCCACACUGGAACUGAGACACGGUCCAGACUCCUACGGGAGGCAGCAGUAGGGAAUCUUCCGCAAUGGGCGAAAGCCUGACGGAGCAACGCCGCGUGAGUGAUGAAGGUCUUCAGAUCGUAAAACUCUGUUAUUAGGGAAGAACAUAUGUGUAAGUAACUGUGCACAUCUUGACGGUACCUAAUCAGAAAGCCACGGCUAACUACGUG